rnacentral:rRNA from 1 species
UUAAUAGAUGUAGUUUGAAGAACUAAUUGUCUAUUGAUAUUAAUUUUUAAUUUGUUAAAGAAAGUAAUUUUUAUUUUAGUAUAUUUAUAGAAAAAAUUAUUUUUGAUAUAGGAUACUAGUAUUGUAUAAGAAAAUUUUUUUUAGUACGAAAGAAGAAUUAAUAUUUUGUACCUUGGGUAUCAGGGUUUAUUAAAAAUGGUUUAAAAAUUUAAUUUUCUCGAAUUUAGAAGAGUUACUUAGUUAAGAUAUUUUAUUGUGGCAAAAAUAUUUUUAAUAGUUAAGUGGGGGUGAUAUGUUAAUCGGUUCUGAAUAUAUCUAGUUUUUUAAGAAAAAAAUUUAAUUUUUUUCUGUUUUAAUAAUUUUUUUAUUUUAUAGUAGUUUAUUAGAUAGGGGUAAUAAUUUAAGGGUUGAGCUUUAAAUUAAAAUUAUAUAAUUAGUAUAUAUGAUGAUAAAUGUGGAGGAUUUAUAGUUUCUUCUAAAGUGAUUUAUAUCUUAAUUAUUUUAAUGUUAAGAUUUAUUUAUAUAAAUUUAUGUUUUAUAUUAAAAUGUGAUCUUAAAUAAGUUUAGUUCAGUAAUAAUGAUAAAAUUAGUAUAAUUAAGAUUAAAAAUUUUUUUAAUUUAUAGGUUUAUUUAAGGAAUUCGGCAAAAAUUUUUCCCACCUGUUUAUUAAAAACAUGGCUUUUUGAGUUUAAUUUAAGGUCUGGCCUGCCCGAUGAUUUAAUUAAAUGGCCGCGGUAUUUUGACCGUGCAAAGGUAGCAUAAUCAUUAGUUUUUUAAUUGAAAGCUUGUAUGAAAGGUUUGAUGAGGAAAGUUCUGUCUCAAUUAAAAUUUAUUAGAAUUUUAUUAUUUUGUGAAAAGGCAAAAAUAUAUAUAAAAGACGAGAAGACCCUAUAGAGUUUUAUAGUUUAUAUUUAAAUAAUAAUUGGUAUAUUUUUUUAGAUAUAUAUAAAUUAUUUGGUUGGGGUGAUUGAAAUAAUUUAAUAAACUUUUUUUUACAUAUAUCAUUUAUUUAUGUAUAAUUGAUCCUUAUAAAAGAUUAGAAGAAAAAAUUACCUUAGGGAUAACAGCGUAAUUUUUCUUAAGAGUUCUUAUCGAAAGAAGAGUUUGCGACCUCGAUGUUGGAUUAAAAUUAAAGUUUGGUGUAGCAGCUAUACUUUUAGGUCUGUUCGACCUUUAAAAUUUUACAUGAUCUGAGUUUAGACCGGCGUGAGCCAGGUUGGUUUCUAUCUUUAUAAUAAUAAUAUUUUUUAGUACGAAAGGACCAAGAAUAUAUUAAAUUAAUUUAAAUUUUGAAUAUUAUUAUUGCUUUGGCAGAAUAGUGUGAUAGAUUUAGAAUCUUUUAAUGUAAUUUUAUAAUUACAG